rnacentral:rRNA from 1 species
GCUUAACUUGGGAAUUGCAUUCGAUACUGGGAAGCUAGAGUAUGGGAGAGGAUGGUAGAAUUCCAGGUGUAGCGGUGAAAUGCGUAGAGAUCUGGAGGAAUACCGAUGGCGAAGGCAGCCAUCUGGCCUAAUACUGACGCUGAGGUACGAAAGCAUGGGGAGCAAACAGGAUUAGAUACCCUGGUAGUCCAUGCCGUAAACGAUGUCUACUAGCCGUUGGGGCCUUUGAGGCUUUAGUGGCGCAGCUAACGCGAUAAGUAGACCGCCUGGGGAGUACGGUCGCAAGACUAAAACUCAAAUGAAUUGACGGGGGCCCGCACAAGCGGUGGAGCAUGUGGUUUAAUUCGAUGCAACGCGAAGAACCUUACCUGGCCUUGACAUACUAGAAACUUUCCAGAGAUGGAUUGGUGCCUUCGGGAAUCUAGAUACAGGUGCUGCAUGGCUGUCGUCAGCUCGUGUCGUGAGAUGUUGGGUUAAGUCCCGCAACGAGCGCAACCCUUUUCCUUACUUGCCAGCAUUUCGGAUGGGAACUUUAAGGAUACUGCCAGUGACAAACUGGAGGAAGGCGGGGACGACGUCAAGUCAUCAUGGCCCUUACGGCCAGGGCUACACACGUGCUACAAUGGUCGGUACAAAG